CACGGGGAGGUAGUGACGAAAAAUAACGAUACGGGACUCAUCCGAGGCCCCGUAAUCGGAAUGAGUACACUCUAAAACCUUGCAUAAGGAUCAAUUGGAGGGCAAGUCUGGUGCCAGCAGCUGCGGUAAGACCAGCUCCAAUAGCGUAUAUUAAAGUUGUUGCGGUUAAAAAGCUCGUAGUCGAAUUUGUGUCCCGCACCGCUGGUACAUCGUUCGCGGUGGUAACUGGCGCGUCUAGCGGGACGUCCUGCCGCUGGGCUUUCGAAUCGAUUCGUCGUUCGAAGUCCAACUCGCUUCUGCAUUAUGCAGUUGCGUUCUCCCGUUACGGUGCUCUUAAUUGAGUGUCAUGAUGGGACGGCACGUUUACUUUGAACAAAUUAGAGUGCUUAAUGCAGGCCAAUUAUGCCUGAAUAUUCUGUGCAUGGAAUAAUGGAAUAGGACCUCGGUUCUAUUUUCAUGGUUUUCUGAACCACCGAGGUAAUGAUUAAGAGGAGUGGUUGGGGGCAUUCGUAUUGCGACGUUAGAGGUGAAAUUCUUGGAUCGUCGCAAGACGGACUUAAGCGAAAGCAUUUGCCAAAAACGCUUUCAUUGAUCAAGAACGAAAGUCAGAGGCUCGAAGGCGAUCAGAUACCGCCCUAGUUCUGACCAUAAACGAUGCCAGCUAGCGAUCCGCCGAAGUUCCUCCGAUGACUCGGCGGGCAGCUUCCGGGAAACCAAAGCUUUUGGGUUCCGGGGGAAGUAUGGUUGCAAAGCUGAAACUUAAAGGAAUUGACGGAGGGGCACAACAAGGAGUGGAGCCUGCGGCUUAAUUUGACUCAACACGCGGAAACUUACCAGGUCC
rnacentral:rRNA from 1 species